rnacentral:rRNA from 1 species
AUUGAACGCUGGCGGCAUGCCUUACACAUGCAAGUCGAACGGUAACAGGUCUUCGGAUGCUGACGAGUGGCGAACGGGUGAGGAAUACAUCGGGACGUGCCUAGUAGUGGGGGAUAACUACUCGAAAGAGUGGCUAAUAACGCCUGAGUACGACGGAGGAAGGCAGGGGAUCGGAAGUCCUGGGGCUACUAGAGCGGCCGAUGGCAGAUUAGGUGGUUGGUGGAUAAAAGCUUACCAAGCCGACGAUCUGUAGCUGGUCUGAGAGGAUGAUCAGCCACACUGGGACUGAGUCACGGCCCAGACUCAUACGGGAGGCAGCAGUGGGGAAUUUUGGACAAUGGGCGAAAGCCUGAUCCAGAAAUGCCGGGUGCAGGAUGAAGGCCUUCGGGUUGUAAACUGAUUUUGUACGGAACGAAAAGACCCGGGUUAAUACCCUGGGGUCAUGACGGUACCGUAAGAAUAAGCACCGGCUAACUACGUGCCAGCAGCCGCAGUAA